UUUGUUCGAACUAUACCUAUAACGAUGAAGAAGUGCGUGAUCCGCGGAGCAAUUAACGACCUACGUCGGGUCGGGGUUAUAUGGCCUUGGGGUCGGGACUGAUAUGCGUGUGACUGUGCACAAACUUGUGACAAGUUCCCGCUAAAAAAAAAGAAGUACAGAGAAAAGUGGAUGAGGGUGUGUGGCAUGACCAAUGAGCCAAGACCACAUGACCACUUAAACUUAACAAGAAGUGCGCACCAUGAUAAGCACAGUCAAAAACGUUUGCGUCUAAAGAACAGUGCUGUGCCGGAUCAGAAUAUUCCGUAUACGCCUUGGGUUGCUGUCGCUGCUCGGUCACCCACAGAUGAAAGUGAUCAAGAAAUGGACAUCACUCAGGUGUGGGAUCACUCGUGGAAGUUCACGGCGGAUACGGAGCCGUGCAUGCAGCUCUGGUUCGAUCCUGCUCAGGGAAGCCCCAAUGACGCCGUGGCGCGUAUCUGGGCUGAGCGGGUGGUGGCGGGCGCUGCCGCGUGGCUGGUGGCCGCGGCCCGCUCCUGACCCGGUCGCCCUGUGCCGAGCACAGAGCGCCGACUGAGGUCAGUCUUGUGAUCGAGCUUCCGCGCCGGAGGUGGAACAGCUGGAGCUGGCGGUCACCUGCGCGGGCUCGGCGGCCUGUAAGCCGUGCCGAGACGAACCGCGACACUCUUGCUAGAUCUGCACCCCAUUGUAAUCUUCUGUAGUCGAUAUUCGGUAGGUACUCAAUGCUCAUUUUUCUGAUAUUAGACGAGUGGCGUGUUUUGAUGUUACAUUGGAGACUGCUGUCUCGGGUGGCCCGACAGUGUUCGAUUGUGGUGUAAUGUAGAUACAUAGACGGGAUGCCGCGGCUCGGAUUCGUAGCUGGACUACCAUGUGCCUGUCGAUUGAGAUGCUUUGCCUGGCGAUUGAGAUGAUUCGGGGCGCGGCCCCACACUGACGCCAUGGUGCAAUGAGUGACUGGCGACAACUAAGCAAUUAUGUACUUUUGUAGAACACAUGUUUUCAUGGAUACUAGAGGCAGUCCUUUUUUCGCUAGCAGUCAUUUGGUUCACGAUACUUUCGAUACCGACAAAUAUGUUCGGGCGGCCGGUCCGUCCACAGCUAAUGCGUGCUUGCCCGCCGAUGCCUAACGGAGCGCUGUGCUGUCUACGCUCACUGGUCGCUGGCCCGAGAGCCGUUCGGUUGCUGCUGUUAAAACAGUUCUCACAAAAACACGCUGGCUGGCUGCCAGUUCUUCACCAAUGAGAGGCCCAGUAGCAUCAGCAGGUAGCAUUGUUUAAUAUUACUAUUCCAUUUUGUUUACCCAUAUGUCCGACCUAGAGCCGACUGGUAAAAAGCGGCAACCGAGCAGCCCUCCGCAGCGCUGCAGAUCAUGUACGCUCGAUUAUACACAAUAUAUGUGUCUUUCUUGCACACAGAGACAUGA
rnacentral:lncRNA from 1 species